CCUUAAUGUACAAUGCAACAUACUGUAUAUAUAAGUUUUGCUUAAUUUCUAAUUAUAUUGAUUUUUUGUACAUAAUUAACACAAAUAACAAAGCAACGAACGAAUCAACUGUUUUGGACAUUCAAAAAGAGAGAAAAUAUGAUAAGAAUAUGCAAAUAAAAACCAAGAAACAAAGAAAAAAACAGUGUUUAAAAUUGAUUCUAUUUAGUUGGCGAUGUGACAUGCAAAUAGGCGAAUACUCUCAAAACUGAAAUAGCCAUAAAAUUCUCAGACACACAUCCAAAUCCGUUAUGCAAUAGUAAUGAAGGCAACACAAAAAUGAAAAAAAAAAAUGGUACAAUAACUGGUAGAUACACACAUACGUUUGGCAAACUAUGGUUUACAAAUUCACUCACUGAUCGAAAUUGAAUGAAAAAAAUUACUACACUUGGGCCGCAUCGUCCGAUCUAAAGUGCCUUCAAAAAAAAAUGUUGAUUUUUUACGAAAAAAUAAAAAUAUACAAAAAGGGCCCGACAUAGACUUCUUGCCCCACCAAAGUAUACGACUAUUUGCAUGCGAUCCACAAAUUAACCGCAAUAUAAAUACAAAUACACAAUCGAUAAAUUUUUGUGUUUAUCAUUUUAUGCCACUAUACCAUCAGUAAGAAAGAAAGAAGAAGAAAAAGAAACAUACAUUGAAAUCCAUUUCGAUCACAAACAAUGAACAACCAACAUACUGCUCGAGAAAUAGCUUAAUAAACUCCAAUAAACAAAAUACAGAAAAAAUUGUUAAAACAAAUAUUUAGCGAACUAAGUUUACUAAUAUAAUUACCAAAUAGUUUACUGGAAAAUUUUAUCAAUUGUCUGCUAUUAUCUGAAUAAGUGAAGAAAGAAAGAGAAAAAAAAUUGCAUUAUCGAUGGAUGGUCAUGCAUUGUUUUGAAGAUAGAUACUAUUCCACAGAUAACUCAAUUAGAAACAUAUUUACGAGCUAUUUGUAUGUUACACAACGCACGGUUCCGUUUACACAUUUUACAGCUCGCACACAUACACAUUGAGUCGCAACUAUUUUGCUGGAUGAGAUAACUGCUGACAAAUAUCUCUCUUAUAAGCAAUGUAUACGGAUCGUAUGUCGCAUGCGGUUUCAACCAAAAACAAAAACAAAAAAAACCUGACCGUAAAUGGUCACUGUUUGAACAUAAUCUAGCUGACAAUUAACAGUCAUUUGAACACACACCGUGCGUCAGCUAGCUCAUCAUCAUACGGCUCAAAUACUGAAUUCGAAAACUAGCAGAGAUUAAAUCAAGUAUUUUGAAAGUUCGACAAACAAUUAAGAUCAAUUUGAAAAUUGUAGUAAGAGAAUACUCGGAGUAAAUUGAAGAAGAAAAACACAUUUUUUCAAAUCAGUUAAAUGGAGUAGCUCAAAUUUGCCAAUUAUUCUGAAUUUUAUAGAAAAUAUUAUAAGAAAAAAAUCUGAUUAUAUGAAAUAACUUCACUAUAUAACCAAAGUAAAGGAUAAAUAUUGAUUGAUAUUAAUGGGAGAAAAUUACUUUCAGAUUAGUCGGCAAAAUUAUGAAGAAUCGAUAUCGAAAAAUAAUGGUCAAAACGAAAAAAAAAAAAAAAUAUAAAUGCCAAAAGAGAAAUUUAAACAAGUGUAAAACACUUACAAAAAUUAAACACACGCAUUCAAACCAGAUUAAAUAUAAUUCGUCAGAUCAGGAUCUAUGUAUAUUUAGUAUAGACGUAAAAAUUAGCGCUACACACAAUAUUGGCAUGGAAGCUCACACAGACAUACACAAUAUACAAUUUAUCCAAUCCAGUCCAAUCCAUACGUGAGGCGGAUAAGGAAGUACAUGAAUAAGUUUUAAUAUUUUCUAUUUUUAUAUUCUGACCAAAAAGACAUGCAAACGGAUUCAAGUCUCAAAAAAUCCAGCAAAGCAACAUCGUCUGCUUGGGUGAAAUAUACAAUAAACUUUUAUGUUCAAUCUUACAUACAGAAUACACACUUUCGUAUCUGACAUUUUUUUUUUUCUUGACCAAAAUAGGAUGUGUGUACUUUUCAUACUCUACGUCAAAAAUAAAAUCACACCCAAAUCGAAAUUAUUGAUCAAAUUUACUUUAUUUCAUUGAAAUGUAUUUCGGUAUAGCUUUUUUUCAAGUGUCAUUUCUACAGAAGAACAACUUUUCCAGUUAAAUUCAGUCGACACACUUCCAACUUCAAAAUCAUAUGAUAAAACAAGCGUCAAAUUAAAAGUUGCGUUUUCUUUGUUCAAAAUCGUACACAAGCAUAUCAGUCAAAGAACAGAGUUUGUUGAAAUUAAUGCGCUCUUCUCAACCAAACUUUCUUUUCUAUAAUGCGGAAUAGCUAUGAAAACUUUAGUUACAUUGUAUCUUAUAUUUUUAACACUCAGAAAAGUACGACGUCUAUUUUAAAGUCAAUUUAUUCAUUAAAUUUCAUUUGGGUGGACAUGAAGAAUUUGUUAAGUUAUUAGUUCAUGAAACAUCAAACUGAAAUUAAAUGCAUUUCAACCAUACGGAAUAAAAAAUUAGAUUUUCUGCUAGAAUCUUCAACGAUUUCAUAGAAUUUUGCCAAUUCAGACGUAUGUUAGAUGUUAAUUGUGAAUUGAGAUAAAACUGCUUCAUUCUCCUCUUAACUUCACUCUGUUCUUCAUUCAAAAAAAAUACAGUACACAUAUAUGAUUGAUCUGAAAUAUUGAAUUGUAUUACUGAUUUGUUUAGUUAUCUUUCGAUCUGAACCUUUUAUAAGGUUACAACCAGUGAUGGUUUUGCGUUAGCCAGCGUUGUCUUAGCCUCGGUGUAUACCAACAUUUGGUGUACACCAAUCGUUAGCCAGCUAACUGUCUACACUGUCUGUGUGACUGUGUAUGAUAGUAUGCGUGUGAAAACGUCCAAUUCUCCUGACGUGUGUUAGUGCUGGCUUACGCAUUCGUUAGCCGGUGUACACAGUGAUGGCAAAUUAGCCAGCUAAUGUGCUCAUCACUGGUUACAACACACAUUUCAAUCUUAUUGAAACUCAGAAUAUCCUUUUAUUUUCGCAUAUUUUAUGCUGAACUUUUCAUUAACCAUCCUUAGUUUAAAUUUUUUUCUCGGUGUAAUUAAAAUGAAAAGCAUACAAUAGACCUAAAGCCCAUUGCAUUCCGACUGUUUUGCUGGAAUUCCAUAUGAUUAAUUUAUCAUUUUGAUCAAUAUUCUUCCUACUUUUGUUUCAAUAUAACAUAAUCAAGGAACAAGUACUACAGAUAAACACAAAUAUGCACAUAAUCAAUGUUUAUUGUGAUUUGUUUUGAAUACAUGAAAAUAAGACAGUUUAAUAACUGACAGUUUUUGACAGAGAAAUUAUAUCUCGAUACACAAUUCAAAUGCGACAAGUUAAGAAAAAAUAUCUUACCAUUAGAUAAAAUAGCAUGUUCCAGUCAUUUAUGUCGUUUGUGUUGCAACUUAUAUGUAAUCCAAUAUGUUUUACUCAUUCAUAACGAUGUCAUUGGCUUCAAAACAAUUGACGUACGAAGUUGAAAACAACAAUAUUUGAACCGGUGUAUUUUGUACAAAUCUCAAUGAACAUUCUAAGUGUAUCAUAAUUAACUUUGAAUAAACCGUUACAUAAGACAAAAUACAUGCAAAACACAAGCACAUAUACGCAAUAAAAAGGAAACAAAGUUUUGGUGAAGCAUUUUAGUUGUUUGAAAACAAUGGCACGACCCUUUCAGUCAAACCAUCGGCAACAGUACAGUUAUAAGUUUACAAUUUUCUUUGGUGGCGCGAACAAUCGGUUCGGAUGCUUGAAAAGCUCUCAAUAAUUUAUUUAUUUUUUAGUAUUAUCAAGCAAUGUUAUAAUUUAAAUGUUUUAAUUUGAAUUUUAUUGGAUACUACAGUGAUUUUCUUGUCUUAUUUAACGCAUAAAUGUAUCUGAUAUUUUGCGAUUCGCAUUUUACUUGAGAAUGUCAUAACUGUUGCAUCAAUGAGACUUGUUUUGAAUACAGUUGUCAUUCGAUCUCAAAGAGUGAAAGAAAAUCAAAAUGGAAGAUAUUUUGAUAUGUGACAAAUGUGAUAUGGUUAAUUGCAAAACGAUCUCUGCUUUUAACUACAUAAUCACUUUCCAAUGAAAGAAGUCAAUAUCUGUUGUUCAAACAUAUUUUUUGUUUUGUUUUUGAACCAAAAUACAUCAAAUAACUAUAGCUAUUAAAAUGAAUUGAUAGACGAAACAAAUCAGCCAAAAGGAAAAUAAAAGAGCAUCAAAGUACUCAUCAUUAAAGCAAUAAUCGAUAAAUAACUUUUCAAAUUUCCAUUUUUUCCACAUUAAAUGAACUAUUAAUUAUAUGUAAUAUGGAAAACGAGAUACUUGAUAAAUUGCACAUCGAAUGUUCACAUGUUUUUCGUUGAGAGUGUCGCCUUUGUCGACGACGAACGGCAACUGUAUAUUUACAAAAAAAAAUUACGAAUAUUUUAUUUCGUAUUACAAAUAACAUGUUGCACACUUCGAAGAUAGAACGAAUAGUCAAGUCCUUUUCUUGUUCAAAUCUGCUUUAAGAUACAUGACUCUUAAAUCUAUGCAACUUAAGAAUUUCUAUAGAAUGCUUAAUUUAAGUAAUUUAAACAUUAUUCAAAAUAAGAUCGUUUUUCUUUCUUUCUUUCAAAAAACAUCAACGAAACCAAGUGAGUCAAACACAAGUUUGAAAUCAUGGUAAAUGUAAAUUGGAAGAAAAAUCCAAAUUGAUUCAAAAUGUAAUGGCGUAAAAGACGUGAGAAGAAACAGAACAUUUGUAUAAGAAGACCAAUUCAUGUCGAGCAUCAUAUUUAUUUUUAGGUACAUUAUGUGAAAUAAGUUUCGAUAAAGUUUGAAAGUAAUACAAAAAAAAAAGAAGUCAUGAUCGAAGCAAAGAUCUUUUGGUUUUAAAUGACAUUUAGGGACUAAGAAUAUACGAAUAAUUGAAUAGCUCACCAUUUUUGCUGUUUCAAAGAAUUAAUUCAAAUGUGUGUCGUAUUACCCGGAAAUAAUCGGAGAUAGUGAAAUAGCAAACAAUUUGCAUAUAUGAUGAAAAGUUCAAUUUGAAAAUAACUAUAAAUAGUACAUCUAUAUUCCGACCAUUUAAGCUCAGCUCGUUCUGAACUGAUUCAUAAAUACAAUGAAAAUGCAUAUGAAAUUUAAAUUUCCACACUUUGAUUAAAAAAAGCAAACUUAAACAUUUUUAUUUAGAUUUAGGCAAACUAAUUAAAUCUUAAUGAAAAAAAAAACAUGAAUGAAAAAUAUAAAACUACACAUAUAUUGCGUACUGUGUAAAAUAUUAUAAUAAUUUUCGCCGCUUUGAGCAAAAAAAAGGCUACAGCUUUCACAGAUGUCAAUGGUUCAGAAUAGCCAAUUGGCUAUUUUUCCAAAAAGAGCCCCAUAUAAAAGCAAUUAAGCGAAUAGCGAGGUGAUAAGAAAGAAGAAUGACCAUAAUAAAGACUUGUGAAUGGAUCCAUUGAAUAAAUUGCAUUGAAAUUGAUUGGAUAUGAACGGGAAAAAAGGUGAAUUUAAACAGAUUCAAAUUUAUAUAGAAAAGGUUGACACGAAAAUGGUCAAUAAAUAUAAAAUACACCGAAACGAAGAAAACAUAACCACCUUCAACCUAAAUAUCUGUAUUUUUGUAUUAGUAUUUUGUAAAAUGUUCAUGUAUGUAUAAAAAUGCAAAGAAAAUUAACAACCAAACAAACAAAACAAAACGAUGCCAAAAGAUGUGCAUUGUCAUUGUAAGUGCGCAAAGCUUACAGAUAAAUACACACCAUCUGUGUCAACGACAAUGUAAAAUAAUGUAAAGAAAAAAAAGAACAGAGAGAAGACACAUUUCGAUACAUUCGUUUACAUUGUACGAAGACUUUUUUUCGGUGAUGUUUUAAGUAUCUGCGAAUAAUGUGCACAUCUUUUGAAUGAAACUUGCAAAGCCUGGGAGAGAUGUGUUGUUCACAAUAUAUUGAUAUAAAAUUCGUCAUAUUCCUACCAAAAGAAUAACGAAUCAUCUCAUACCCAGAGAUAUUUAAAAUUCCAGACGCGAUUAUAGACAAAUUUUAGAUAAAAUAAUUAUUCUCAUUAUUUUUUUUUAUAUAAAAAAGAAUUUAGGCAAAUGGCGUAAAAGCAACAGAGAGAUAUAGAGAAAAAAAGAGAGAUGCGCGAAUGUAAUUUUUAAAAGCUAUUGAGAGACCUGCGAACUUGAUCGAUAAAUUUAUAAUGUAAAUAAAUGAAGAAAAAAUUAAAAUUUUGAUAAACAAAAAGAAUGCAUAAUUUCCAAAUAGAAGACACAUGUUUUUUGGUGAACAAAAAAGACAAUCUUGAAUGAAAUAAAAAAAAAUAGUUUCAACAAACGUGCAAAUAAUACAGCAUAAAAGUAAGAUUUGAUAUCAAGAAUGAUGAACAAGAUAUACAAACCGAAAAAAAGUGAAAUAAUAUCAUUAUUACCACCAUUUGAAAUGUUUCAUUUUUAUCCAGUUUAAAUUAUUGGAUGGUUGUAUAUGCUUGGUUUCAAAUUUUGUUUAUCGUACUGUUUGUACGUUCAUCAAAUUAUUUCACAUUCUGUUGGAAACAAGAAGCAGUAUAUGUUAUACUAUAUUUCUGGGUUUGAAUUUGUCAAUUGACAUGACAACAUGGUGUAUGCUUAGCUAAGUAGCAUGCUAAUCGUAUGCUAGGCAUAAUUUCAAACAGAUUUAUUUGCCUCAUAACAUAAAGACAAGCAAUAUAAAUACACUAUCAACAAAUUAUCAACCCGUAAAUAUUGAUUUGAUUGUUAAAUUUUUUUUUGUGUUUACCAAAAAACAUCAAUCAAAACACGUUAUUAAACACGCUCAUCAUUUUGGAAAGAAACGCUUUUAGUAUAAUCUCUCUGUUGGUUAUUGUUUUUUAUCGUAUCCAAUCAAUUUUAAUCAAUUUGGGUGAAUCUUUGAAUUUCGAUGCAUCCUUAAUAAAAACUAGUAUUGACAUUUCGAGAAUAGAAACACAAAUAUGCUUGAUUGCAUUUUGGGAAAAAACAAAAAAUGAAGAUUAAAGAUUUUAAGUAGUACAUUUAAAUAUGAGCGAUGCAUUUAGUGACAUUUCACUUGGGAUUGGGUUCAUUGAUACACACGCUCAAUGGGUGCUCUGUCGGGGCAUUCAUUUAUUUUCAUGUCUUUUUUCACAUAUCUUCUCAUCUUAUUCUCCUUUCUUUAUUCCUUCGCUUACAUUUGUGUAUACUUAAAGCAUUUCGAAAAGGAAAACAAUCAAAAAUUGUCAACUGAUAAUCCAAAUCACUACGUUAAAUUAUUUACUAAAAAAACAUUAUGUAUUGUGCAGCAGUGAUUUUAGUAUAUCGAUUUCAGUUCAAAAAUGAAACCGCAAAACAUUGAACUAUUGCACAAGUAUCAUCUAAGAAUGCUGUGAUAGCCGUUCAAUAUAUAUGUGUGUUUAUGAAUUCGAACAAAAAAUCUCGAAAUGAAUGAAGAAAUGAAAAUUAAAAAAGUGAACCAACAAAUCCAGCAUCUAAAUUCGUGGUGUACGACAUCAUUAUUUUUCAUUUAUUGUUACUAAAAGAUGCAACAAAGUACAUCAAUUAUAUUAAACCUAACAAUGAUAUGAUAUUUGUAUGCUAUUUAACUAAAUAUUUGGACAAAGAAUCGACAUCUUUUAUUGACUUUGGUUAUAGUGGAGUCAGUGUUUAAUAUAAUUUCCGGUGUUUAGCAAGCGAACUUUCAACCUAAGUUGAACUGAGUUUAACACAACUGCAUAUAGUUCCGUCACUUCCAGGACUUGUAUUAAAAACAGUUACUAUAAAAAAGUGCAUACGAAAGCAAAUAUCCAAUGGCAAUUGGCGCUAAAAACAAAUUUGUGUGUUUUAUCAAAGUGUUUGUAGUAUAAAAAAGAUCUAGAUUCUUUCCGGGUGUGUAACACAAAUAAAUAUUUGAAUUAAUGAAUAUGUAUGGCGACACCCGAAAUCUAUUCAUUAGGUGACAAGUUGAUCUCGAAGAAAAAAAACUAACAAUGCCAAAAAAAGCUCUGUCUUUACUUUCGACAGAAUUGUAUCGUCUAUCGAUGUAUUUUUGUGAGUUAUAUAAAAUAAUGAUUGUUUUUUUUUAAAUGAAAAAAAGAAGAAAAUAUAAAGUAAUUCUUAAGUGAACACAAAAAAAAAGUUUAUACAAAAUGAUAGAAUACAAAUUAUAAAAUGAAAGUGUGUGAGAUCGAACAGAAGUGGCUAAACAGAUCAACAUAGCUAAAAACUAUAGUACCUUGAUCACACAUACAGUUUCUUUUCGGAUAUUUGAAAUGCACACAAUUCUAUAACUGAUGGAGUGGCAAUUAAAUUCUGAUUGUGAUUUUCGUAUAUCACCUUUUGUUCAGAAAUUAUAUAUACCAAAAAAAAACUGCCCGUUACGCUGGUGUAUUUAAAAUACCGAAUACUAUCGUCGUUUGAAAACGUAUAAAUAUGUGCAUUUUUGGGAAAAGGCUUAUUUUUGGAUUUAAUCUUAGUUACAUUAUUAAAAAAUAGACGAAUAAUUAAAAAAAACGCACUGCAAAAGUAAUUCACUCAAAAGAAUAUUACUUUUGUGUUGAUUUAGAUUUGGAAUUAUUGUGAAUUUGUUCUUUAUUUGUUACGUAAAAUAACAAAAUUAUUAUAUUUGGCAACACGAAAUUUUAAUUUUUGUUUGAACCGUAGGACGCAUUAUAGUUCGAAAAUUAAGUCUUUUGAUUUUAAAUAAAAAAAUGGCUCUUUGAAUUUUUUAUAAUAUAAUUUGUUUUAUUGUUAAUUUGAAAAUGAAAAAAAAAAUUAUUUAAACCAACCAAAAUCAAUGGAAAAAACCUCCCAAAGUCCUCUCGACUGCAUUCACACAAGCACAAAACUUAUAACUAUCUUGUUUCUUCAUUAUCUAUGAAUCACACGAUAAAUCGAUACUUAACGAUUUUUCGAAAGUUCAUUCCUUAAGUUAAGAAUUUAUUUAAAACUAUAAACUUAGAAUUGGAUCAUUCUUUUUGUACUAAGGCGUGUCAUUGUUUAUUAGUUUUCUUUUUUAUUCAUGAACAUAUAUUUUAAACUUUUCACCCGUUUAAUGUAAACGUGUAUUUUAAACGUAUAUUUUGAAUACAGAGCAAAGAUUUUUUUAAUAGUCACCAAAAAAUGAAAAAAAAAAAAAAAAACAUAAACAGAAUGUAAUAAAGAAACAUUUAAAUUUUGAAAAUGCAGUAAGAUCGAAAUCGAAAUGUACGAAUACAGAAACUGAAUUCAAACUCAUUUGUUUACUAAUUUAUUGAAUAAAUUUUUCAUUGUUUCGCUGACGUUUUGACUAAUUUUUGUGAAUGAAAAUACCAAAACAAAAAGACAUCGUGUUAUUAUUCGAGUUUAUGUUAGAUUUUUUUUUGUAAUUAUUUCACAAAACAAGAAACAAAAGAAAACAUGAACAAUUUCAUUCGAAAAUGAACAUAACUAUAAAUACAUUAACUCUACCUUAAAGAUUAAGACAAAAAAAAUUCAUAAAAUCAACAAAAAAAAAAAA